rnacentral:misc_RNA from 1 species
UGUGGAAGCUGGCUUGCCUGCGAUGCAGGCGACUCGGUCGGUCAUUCAAACCGAGGCGAUGUCAUCGCAGGCAAGCCAGCUCCCACA